AACGAACGCUGGCGGCAUGCCUAACACAUGCAAGUCGAACGCGUGUAGCAAUACACGAGUGGCGGACGGGUGAGUAACGCGUGGGAACCUGCCCAGUGGUAGGGAAUAACUGCGGGAAACUGCAGCUAAUACCCUAUACGCCCUUUGGGGAAAGAUUCAUCGCCAUUGGAGGGGCCCGCGUCGGAUUAGCUAGUUGGCGGGGUAACGGCCCACCAAGGCAACGAUCCGUAGCUGGCUGAGAGGAUGAUCAGCCACACUGGGACUGAGAUACGGCCCAGACUCCUACGGGAGGCAGCAGUGGGGAAUAUUGGACAAUGGGGGAAACCCUGAUCCAGCAAUGCCGCGUGAGUGAAGAAGGCCUUC
rnacentral:rRNA from 1 species